AGGAGGAACAGCCCCAGUGGCGGGGCAGCUCUGGAAACCUGGAUUCAGCUCCGGCAGGAACUACAGAGCUCUCCGUCUGCAGGGCCUGGAGGCUCUGGGCGGGG
rnacentral:pre_miRNA from 1 species